rnacentral:rRNA from 1 species
GCGGAAACAGCCCACUAUGCGAAAAAUCCCUCCUUUUCUCGUCCUGUCUCCACCCCGUUCCACAGACUGCCCCCAAAUCUCGUUCUGCCUCGAAACCUAAAUCCUCCACCACCGCCGCCGCCGCCGCCGCUCGAGCCCUCUCUCGCCGCUCGUGCUCUCUCCCCGUCCGGCUACGUGCUCUCCUGGCGGCGAGUCUGUAGCCCCCUCUCCCGCUCGUUCUCCAGUGUCUCCACCGCCGACCCCACACCAUCCUGCCACGGCCACGCGCUCCAUUGUUGUUCCCCGGCUAGUGCUCUCUCCGGCCAGCCACCACGCGUAAGCUUCCAGCGAGGCUGA